GAACGAUAUACGGGAUGGAGGGGUGAAGGUGGAAGUGGGAGGAAGCAGGUGCCAGACAGCUCUCAAUAUGCCUGGUUUGUGAGGAAGGGUGGGGGAAGGAAGGGUACAUGGGUAGAACUGGUCAGCCCUCUGCAUAGAUAGCCAGGGUUUUGGAUUGAGUAUCCUCUCUUCUACACCAUGUUCAGCUCAGAAGCCAGAAGUGCUCCUCAACUAGAGGCGAGAUACUCUCUUCUGCAACUCACAGCCAACAUGACACACACAAACAGACACUCAUCUUCAAGCCUUGAUGGUGAAUGGUCUCAACCCAACUUCCUCACAUCUACACCUCCAACCACUGCCUUCGGUGGCUUUGCUCCCUUUACCUGACUAAAUGAUUCCAUUUCCUCUGUCCUAACCCUCUUCCCUUUUCUCAGGAAUUCAGAGUCAUUCUUACCCAUACCAGCAAUCAGGGUCAGGAAACCCAAUCAGAAAGAAAAACUUGAAGAGGAAGGCGGGCAUCCGGAUCCUAUCACUCCCCAGUGACCAGCAAGACACUCUCUCUCCAGCUACUGGGUUGGAAAGUGAGAGAACUGAAUUCUGGCUCUCCUACCUUCACACUCUUCAGAACUGGAAAAGAAGCUUUUCUGCCAGGCACGGUGGCUCAUGCCUGUAAUCCCAGUGCUUUGGGAGGCUAAGGUGGGCGAAUCACUUGAGGUCACAAGUUCAAGACCAGCCUGGCCAACAUGGUGAAACCCCAUCUCUACUAAAAAUAGAAAAAUCAGCUGGGCAUGGUGGCACAUACCUGUAGUCCCAGCUACUCGGAGGCUGAGGCAGGAGAAUUGCUUGAACCUGAGAGGCAGAGGUUGCAGUGAGCCGAGAUCACGCCAUUGCACUCCAGCUUGGGCAAGAGUGAGACUCCGUCUCAAAAAAAAAAAAAAAAAAAAAAAUUAGCAGGGAGUUGUGGUGUGCACUCAUAAUCCCAGCAGCUCGGAAAAGGCUGAGGCACAAGAAUCGCUUGAACCUGGGAGGCAGAGGUUACAGUGAGCCGAGAUCACGCCACUGCAUUCCGGCCUGGGUGACAGAGACUGUGUCUCAAAAAAAAAAAAAAAAAGCUUUUCUUAAUAAUAUUACUGCUGCCCAAAGACACGACUCCCUACACUAAGCAGCAGCAAUGGAAGGGGUGUCCCCCAACUCUCACUACCCAACGUGGUAUACUACAGAUAUCCCAAAAGGAUUCCACAGCAUCCCAGAAAUGGAUCCCCAGCCCCCUCCCUGAGUUCAGUGGUUUGACCUACUUUUAGCAGAUGCCUAAAAACAUCGAAUGUACUAAAUACAUACUUGUCAACUUCCUGCUGUAACCAACCUAGGCGCUUGAACUGGAAGUGGUGUAUGCAGUGAAUCCCCAGAGCCUUUAGACCUUAUACCUCAAGGCUGAGAAACCCACACAUACAUUCAUUCUCUGCCACUGCCCCUAUACUCUGCAAUGAAGGGGAGGGUUUUGCCCUCCAUCCCACCUUAGCCAACCUAAGCCCUUCCACUGGCUUUCUACAGGCUCAUUUGGGAAGCUCCCUUGCCCAGAUUAUCCUGAAGUGGACCCUGGGUCCAAGUCUUCCGCCAGUCCAUGACUGAUGCUAUGCAUGUUCCGGAAGAUGGGAUUGCUGUUUGUCCUAAGAGCUGGGUGCUAAGCAUUUACCUCCCAGGUUCAGUCUCCUCUUCAUCCCCUAUCCCCUCAAAAGAACUGGAA
rnacentral:lncRNA from 1 species